rnacentral:rRNA from 1 species
GGUUUAUUCGAUGCAACGCGAAGAACCUUACCAAGGCUUGACAUGUCGCGAACUCUUCUGAAAGGAAGAGGUGCCUUCGGGAGCGCGAACACAGGCUGCGUGCAYGGCUKUACGYCCARUCAUUCCGUGAUAACGCUUGCAKMCUCCGUAUSRCCGYKRMUGCUGGCACCCGCAACGAGCGCAACCCUCGUUUUUAGUUGCCAGCAUUAAGUUGGGCACUCUAGAGAGACUGCCGGUGACAAACCGGAGGAAGGUGGGGAUGACGUCAAGUCAGCAUGCCCCUUACGCCUUGGGCUACACACGUACUACAAUGCUACGGACAGAGGGCAGCAAGCUAGCGAUAGCAAGCUAAUCCCAUAAACCGUGGCUCAGUUCAGAUCGAAGGCUGCAACUCGCCUUCGUGAAGGAGGAAUCGCUAGUAAUUGCAGGUCAGCAUACUGCAGUGAAUUCGUUCCCGGGCCUUGUACACACCGCCCGUCACACCAUGGAAGCUGGCAACGCCCGAAGUCAUUACUCCAACCUUUCGAGGGGGAGGAUGCCUAAGGCAGUGCUGGUGACUGGGGUGAAGUCGUAA